rnacentral:snRNA from 1 species
AUGCUCGCUUUGGCAGCACAUAUAUUAAAUUGGAAUACAACAGAGAAUAUUAGCAUGGCCCCUGCUCAAGGAUGACAUGCAAAUUCAUGAAGUGUUCCAUAUUAAA